CUAGGCUCGGAUUCAUCAGAUUCUCUACUUGCGUCAUUUGCAAUGGAAAGACCCUCCCACAAGAUUAUUGAUAUCAACUCUGGAGAAAAGAAUAAGUCUUACACCCGGCAUAACAACAGCAAAACCAUAUUCCUGCUGCUGUCAGUUAUGAUGCACUGAGAAAACUUCAGAGACCUAAACUUUUUCCAGAGAAGAGAAGCUUUACUGGUGUUCCAGCCCUAAGCAACCAUCUUUCCUGUGAAAAAUUCCCUCUCCUAGUACUUUAGUUCUGUGGAUCCAAAAUUUAUAGCAUUCUUCUACCACCACAGGGGCUAUAUGACAUUGACAGACAAGACACUUUUCAGAAAGACAGAAAGUCCUGCUGUCCUCCACCUGGCUACCUCUUGGCUUUGGGAGACACAUGUCUUCUCUCCCCACUGACUGAGAAUGUCAGACUCCUGCCGGCCAGCUGCAUGCUUUCCAGGAGCACCAACCAGGAAAUUCCCUGACAGGUAAAAUAUUUAAAAAUGACACUUUUACCUACCUGACUUUGGGGGCCAAAUGCCUAAGAGGGAAAGGAAACAGUCUAACCAGAGUCCAGGAAAAUUAAUUGAAUCCCAUGGGGUAGACAUAAAACCCCUGUGGGAAUAUUAC
rnacentral:lncRNA from 1 species